AUUGAACGCUGGCGGCAUGCCUUACACAUGCAAGUCGAACGGCAGCACGGGGCAACCUGGUGGCGAGUGGCGAACGGGUGAGUAAUGCAUCGGAACGUACCUUUCAGUGGGGGAUAACGUAGCGAAAGUUACGCUAAUACCGCAUAUUCUGUGAGCAGGAAAGCAGGGGAUCGCAAGACCUUGCGCUGAUUGAGCGGCCGAUGUCAGAUUAGCUAGUUGGUGAGGUAAAGGCUCACCAAGGCGACGAUCUGUAGCGGGUCUGAGAGGAUGAUCCGCCACACUGGAACUGAGACACGGUCCAGACUCCUACGGGAGGCAGCAGUGGGGAAUUUUGGACAAUGGGGGCGACCCUGAUCCAGCCAUGCCGCGUGAGUGAAGAAGGCCUUCGGGUUGUAAAGCUCUUUCGGCCGGGAAAAAAUCGCAUGGGCUAAUACCCUGUGUGGAUGACGGUACCGGAAUAAGAAGCACCGGCUAACUACGUGCCAGCCGCCGCAGUAAAAC
rnacentral:rRNA from 1 species